CUUCGGCACUUAUCGUAUCGGGGGGAAUGUGUCUCGUAUUCCGGCGUCAAAGACUGCCGCUUGUACGUUGUAACUUUUUGACAACUUCCAUCAACUCAUUAUUGUUGAAGCGCAGUGAUCUCAGCGAGUUCUUCAGCUUGAAGUAAAACCUGCCCAGUGACACUUUGUCCACCACAAAUCUCACAUGAAGUUACCCUGGACUGAACCUGUGGCUCCAUGGUGAGAAGUAUGGUCCACAAUUUUAAGCUGAGAAGUUGGAGUACUAGGCAGUCUGUCAGGGGUACUGAAUGUGAGAGGCUGGCUCAAGUUGGAGACAAGAGGGACGGCUCAUCAGAAAAACACUUGUAGCAGGAGUUACAUUUGAACGGCUUGUCUGUCUGGUGACACCUGGAAUGACUCUGGAG